rnacentral:rRNA from 1 species
ACAGCAGUCGCCGCGGUAAUACAGAGGCCUCAAGCGUUGUUCGGAUUCAUUGGGCGUAAAGGGUGCGUAGGUGGCUUGGUAAGUUGAAGGUGAAAUCUCGGGGCUUAACCCCGAAACUGCCUUCAAUACUGCUAGGCUCGAGGACUGUAGAGGAGAAUGGAAUUCACGGUGUAGCAGUGAAAUGCGUAGAUAUCGUGAGGAAGACCAGUGGCGAAGGCGAUUCUCUGGGCAGUUCCUGACACUGAGGCACGAAGGCCAGGGGAGCAAACGGGAUUAGAGACCCGCGUAGUCCCUGUCUCUUAUAC